UACGUAGGGAGCAAGCGUUGUCCGGAAUCAUUGGGCGUAAAGCGCGCGUAGGUGGCUCUAUAAGUCCGUUGUGAAAGUCAAAGGCUCAACCUUUGAAAGCCGAUGGAUACUGUAGAGCUAGAGUCCGGAAGAGGCGAGUGGAAUUCCUGGUGUAGCGGUGGAAUGCGCAGAUAUCGGGAGGAACACCAAUGGCGAAGGCAGCUCGCUGGGACGGUACUGACGCUGAGACGCGAAAGCGUGGGGAGCGAACAGG
rnacentral:rRNA from 1 species